rnacentral:lncRNA from 1 species
UCCUACUCAAAAAAAAAAAAAAAAAAAAAAAAAAUUACAGUGAAGCUUAUUUAAUGCAAAUGCAGAAUAUCACUUCUCUAACCAGUAUCCCUGGGGAAUGAAGACUAAGUUUUCCAGAUAAUGGGAUAAAUGUUAAGUGAAAAAUGCAUAUUUUUUAAUUCAAAAAAGAAACAUUGUAUGUUUACUAAGCGUGUGAUACAAAAUUUAACAUUUUCUGCUAACUCAAUAUUGCCUAUUAUAUAAAUUAUCUAUAAAGCAUCCCAAAGUGACGCUCUUAAAUUAGACACAUAAAGCUAUUUGCCCCUAUACUAAAUCAUGUUUUUAGCCUGGGGCCCAAGGCUGGGCUUGGUCUUGAUCUCCUGACCUUGUGAUCUACCCCCUCGGUCUCCCAAAGUGCUGGGAUUACAGGCGUGAGCCACCGCACCCGCCCGAAAGCCAGGUUUCUUACUACUGGAUUAGGAAACUACAGAUAAGCAAUGGGGGAAGGCCAGAACAAACCAUGUGAUGCUAGAUUAGAUCAAGAGAUAUCGGUUUAGCUUAAAAUAGAUACAGACAGAGAGAUACUAAAAUAAUUAUAGAUAUGUAUGUAUACGUGGUUUAGCAAUAUAUACACGUAUUUCCUAGCUUCAUCUAGUAAGAGAAAUCCUAGAAUCAAUGACACACCAACA